CCCUUCUCCUUGUGCCCUCCAUCUUUCCCAACAUCAGGGUCUUUCCUAGGGAGUCUUCUCUUCUCAUGAGGUGGCCAAAGUAUUGGAGCCUCAGCUUCACGAUCUGUCCUUCUAGUGAGCACUCAGGGCUGAUUUCCUUCAGAAUGGAUGCGUUUGAUCUUCUUGCAGUCCAUGGGACUCUCAAGAGUCUCCUCCAGCACCAUAAUUCAAAAGCAUCUAUUCUUUGGCGAUCAGCCUUCUUUAUGGUCCAGCUCUCACUUCCAUACAUCACUACUGGGAAAACCAUAGCUUUAACUAUAUGGACCUUUGUUGGCAAGGUGAU